rnacentral:lncRNA from 1 species
GGUGUCAGAAAAGAUACACGGCAGAGCUCCGCCGCCGACGAAGCCGAAACCAAGGAGAAACCGAUCGAAACCGAACAGUUCUCAACCUAGUUCAGCCGACAGCCUAAUCUGACGAAACAUCGCUUCUGAAAAUUACAAUCGACAUCAAUCAUGUCAAAACCUCCGAGAUUCCUACAUGCAAACCGAACAUCUUUUAUGAUAAAGAUAAGCCCGAAGAUGACUCAAUCUUUAACGAAGGCAAGGAACAAUCAAUCGGAGGCUGAAGAGGAGAAUCGAUCGAACAGAGAACCACAAGAAACGAUGAUCAAACGGAUCCGGGAGAACCCCGGUGAUAGCCGGCGAAGACGAUGUGACGGAAUCAUUCUUCCCGGAGACAAAAUCCGGUGAAAAAGUGUUGUGAGAACCACCACUUCCCGGAGACAAAAGCCCGAACCUUCGGGAGACUUAACCGGAAUAAUCCGGUGAUGGGAACAAGUCGGCGAGAACUCCUCUUCUGAAAGAUUGAUUUUGAUAAGAAGAAGAGAAACCGACAGAAACUCUCUCUCUCUCGAAAGAGAGAAGCCGCUUUUCUUCUUUAAGAUAUUAUUAGACCAUCUCCAACCCACCUUUAUAAUAGAAAUCUCUAAAAUAAAGAAAAAAAUAGAGAAGGUGUUUUUGCUCCAAUGUGUUCUUCUAUAAUAGAGUAAUGCUAUAUCUGCCUCCAUAAAUAGAGGAAAACUAUUUUUUCUCUAUAUUUAGGGAAAAAAACAGCAUAUUAUAGAUGAACACAUUGGAACAAAAACACCAUCUAUAUUUUUUCCAACAGGCAGAGAAAGAAAGAAAACAAAAGGUCAAGUGUACCAAUAGCAAAAUGGACCCACCAGAAUCCAUAAUCUGACUAUAAUGAAUGGAAUGCGAACUAUGUGGGGUCCAGGAAAGCGACUAACCAUUUUUAUUUUACCAGUCGGCAUCGGUGAAGACAAAACGAUGGCCUACACAAAUGGCAGGAACUUAGUGGACAGACCAUCUUGACUUUUAUGGUCCUCGAAGCAGCGAAUAGUUAUCUCUCUCACUAGCGGCCAAGCACUUGUGGGCCAUGAAAGCAGGUAACGACACGAAUGCGUCUAUACGAGGAUAAUGACCUUUAUAUGGGCCAAUUAUUAAAAACUAUAUUUUGGCCCAUUAGUUUGUCUUCUUGAUUUACUAAAAAACGAUGCCAUUAACAGAUAAAGACCUGGUUUGUGGCCCACUAGCUUGUCUACAAGGACAAUUCUAAAACUGGUAAACCAAAAAGCCAGAUCGAAAUGUUUAAACCAUGGAAAGUUAAAAUAGUGAAACUGAUUUGAUUCUUAUCAUUCUAUUGGUUAUCAAUAUGAAUAAGAGGGUGAAAGAAGUAAUUUGGAAACUUUAAUUAAGAAAUAAGAAAAUAAUUACCAAAUUUUCCUUCUUCUCGAAUGCAAUUAAGAAAACAUAAAUGUAAUUAGUGUUGUAAAAGAAAGGUUUUAGGUCUGAAUAUUUCUAUGUUUCAUUAAUGAAUAAGUGUUCCAUUAUAUAGGGGAUUACAAGAUAAGUAAAAAAGAAAGUAUCUAAAACCUAAACCCAAUAGGAUUAGGAAAACUACUAAUAUAUAAUAAUGGAAAGAUAACAAUUACAAGGAAAAGGAAAGAUGGUUUCCUUUUCUCCAAGCCGCAUCUCUCUCUCUCUCCAUGUCAUGGCCGACUCUCUCUCUAUUUCUUGUAGAGUUACUGGCACUUGGCUCCGUCAUCUUCACCUUCCUCUCCGGCGAAGAUGGUGGCUUUAUCUCCGGUUCAUCCAGAUCUCUUCUCCUCCGCUUCAGAUCUCUUUCGGUUUCAGUUGAGAUCCGCCUAAUAUUCUGAUGUUUUUCUCUGGGUUUUUACAUCUUCGCUCUUCUCUUUAUCUUUAAAGAUGUCUGAAUUCAUUAUUAGGAGAAUUGGUUUCUGUGUCGGUGUCUUUGGACUGAAACCUUGUUAUAAGCGGAGGAUAUGGCUUCAGCUUGGCGUCUUUGUGUGACUCCGAUUGAUGGAUUUACUCUCGGCUUCUGUCGAUUGAUAUUUUCCAGUUGUUGGUGCUUCGAUGUCUUGGCUGUGACGUUUGGCUCAUCUCCUUUCUAAAGUCCCGACAGUUCUUCUCUUCGGUGUCUUGUUUUUGGUGUGUCCGGUGGAUGUCAGAGAGAUGCUCCGGCGACGAUUUUUCGACCGUGAAGACGUGUGGUGUCUCGACGACGCGUGUUCUUUCCUAGCUUCGGCGUAUAACACGUGUUCUCCCGAUGAAACAAGCACCGCCUUCCUCUGGAACUUUUUAUAGUUUGGUCCAUUUUGAGCUUCUUUGGUUUUUCCUAUCGUGCUAUUUGGCUGAGCCUCUGGGUUUUCCUUGUAUCUUUUGGUUUAUUGGGUUUUUAGCCAUAAUAAAGAUUAAUUUUUAGUGAAAAAAAAAAAGUCCGAUAAAGUGGAGAUAUUGACCUUUAUGUUCAGUUUUUCUCGGUCGAUAAAUCCAACAAAAAGAGGAUUAGGUAUUACAUUUAUUCCUAAAUCAUUAAAAUAUUGUAAUAUUUAAUUUCGGUAAUGUCUAAAAAUCGAACAAACCUGACCAAACUUUGUAUGUUCUGUCCCUGUGCUCGCAUUACUUUAAUAAUGUUUUUAUUGAGCUGAUUAGAAGAUAGUGGUACGUGAUCCAUGACAAUGUUGUACAAAUAUAUAUUAAUAUGUAUAUAUUAAGAUAUCAGUAUUGGUACAUCGAAAGUAUAUUAAAUUAUUUUUUGUUGAACGACUGUUUUGUAUUGCAAUCAAACCAAAUGCAAAUGCGUGAACCAAACCCAUCAAUGCUUUUGCAGUGGCAUUAACGAAGCUGCUCCACUGGGUAUAUCACUGUCGUUAUUUGGAUAACCUUUAAAACAAAAUCUUAGGCAUUACAGUCAUCAUCGUAUAAAAUUGUAAAAGAAGCUUAUACUAUUAUUUUAAAGAUUUCAUUUCAUGAUAAAUCAUUCUUAUAGGAUCAAAUAAAUAUGUUUAUUUCAUCACUGAAGUGUGUUAUUUUCACUUGAUGCGAUGUACUAACAUUAAAUUGUUGGUUUCCCAACAUAUAUCAAUUUAAAAGUUUUGUUAUAUGUCACUCAAGCUACAAAUUAAGAGUAAAAUAACAACGAAAAAAUGAAUCCAACGGUCAGGAUCUCGUGUUCAGGAUGAGAUAUUAUUAGUUCUUUUUUUUUUGUCAACUAGAAUUUUAUUAGGGGACAAAGUCAAAACUAGGACAAAGCCAAUUACAAAAGAGAAACACAACAGGCCUAAACAACAGACCGAACAUUAAACACACACUUUUGGGCCGAAGGUCCAAAAGAGAAAACAGUUGGGGAAGUAAUCUCCCAUCGUCCACCACGUGCCGAUUGCCUAGCAAUCAAUGACGACGUGUCAAGAUGCGAGAGAAACAGUUUCUUCCGGUGUCAGAAAAGAUACACGGCAGAGCUCCGCCGCCGACGAAGCCGAAACCAAGGAGAAACCGAUCGAAACCGAACAGUUCUCAACCUAGUUCAGCCGACAGCCUAAUCUGACGAAACAUCGCUUCUGAAAAUUACAAUCGACAUCAAUCAUGUCAAAACCUCCGAGAUUCCUACAUGCAAACCGAACAUCUUUUAUGAUAAAGAUAAGCCCGAAGAUGACUCAAUCUUUAACGAAGGCAAGGAACAAUCAAUCGGAGGCUGAAGAGGAGAAUCGAUCGAACAGAGAACCACAAGAAACGAUGAUCAAACGGAUCCGGGAGAACCCCGGUGAUAGCCGGCGAAGACGAUGUGACGGAAUCAUUCUUCCCGGAGACAAAAUCCGGUGAAAAAGUGUUGUGAGAACCACCACUUCCCGGAGACAAAAGCCCGAACCUUCGGGAGACUUAACCGGAAUAAUCCGGUGAUGGGAACAAGUCGGCGAGAACUCCUCUUCUGAAAGAUUGAUUUUGAUAAGAAGAAGAGAAA